GGGCCCGCACAAGCGGUGGAGCAUGUGGUUUAAUUCGAUGAUACGCGAGGAACCUUACCAGGGCUUAAAUGUAGAGCGACAGAGGUGGAAACACCUCCUUCUUCGGACGGUCUACAAGGUGCUGCAUGGUUGUCGUCAGCUCGUGCUGUGAAGUGUCGGGUUAAGUCCCAUAACGAGCGCAACCCCUAUUUCUAGUUGCCAGCGGUUCGGCCGGGGACUCUAGAGAAACUGCCAGCGUAAGCUGUGAGGAAGGUGGGGAUGACGUCAAAUCAUCACGGCCCUUACGUCCUGGGCCACACACGUGCUACAAUGGUGGAGACAGAGAGUUGCCAACCCGCGAGGGUGAGCUAAUCUUCAAACUCCAUCUCAGUUCGGAUCGAAGUCUGCAACUCGACUUCGUGAAGUUGGAAUCGCUAG
rnacentral:rRNA from 1 species